GGGCCCGCACAAGCGGUGGAGCAUGUGGUUCAAUUCGACGCAACGCGAAGAACCUUACCUGGGCUAGACAACGGUGGACCGUCCUAGAAAUAGGAUCUUCCCUUCGGGGACUGCCGGUUCAGGUGCUGCAUGGCUGUCGUCAGCUCGUGCCGUGAGGUGUUGGGUUAAGUCCCGCAACGAGCGCAACCCUCGUCCUUAGUUGCCACCAUUCAGUUGGGCACUCUAGGGAGACUGCCGGCGUUAAGCCGGAGGAAGGUGGGGACGACGUCAAGUCAUCAUGGCCCUUAUGUCCAGGGCCACACACGUGCUACAAUGGGCGGUACAAAGGGUCGCAAACCCGCGAGGGGGAGCCAAUCCCAAAAAGCCGCUCUCAGUUCGGAUUGGAGUCUGCAACUCGACUCCAUGAAGUUGGAAUCGCUAGUAAUCGCGGAUCAGCACGCCGCGGUGAAUACGUUCCCGGGCCUU
rnacentral:rRNA from 1 species